rnacentral:lncRNA from 1 species
UCAAAGAAGAUGGCCAUGGAGACAGCAGCAUGGUUGAAGUGGUAGCAGGCGGCCGUCAGCAAGAGCUGCUCUGUGCCCGGCUGCUGGAGGCUACAGCCUGCGGCACAGCAGCUCGCCUCACUGUGGUUGGUGGUGGUGGCGACAGAGACUGCAACACUACCAGAGUGGCUCUUCUGGCUUUGUCUGCCCAGCUGCUCUGUGCCAGGAGGAGGAGGAGACACCUGCCAUACGCUGAAGGUUGCAACACUGCAGCUCGCCUCACUGCAGCCUGCCAGAGAGGUAGGAGGGUGGCAACACUAGGAGGGCAGGCAGCAGCAGCCAGGGUGGGGGCAGGCCUAUGGCAGUGGCAGAGCUGUGGCGGUGGCCAGGUGGCAGGAGCCUUGUAGGGAGGGCCGGUGCAUUGGCAUUCAGC